ACUCAAAUGAAUAGACGGGGACCCGCACAAGCAGCGGAGUGUGUGGUUUAAUUCGAGGCAACGCGAAGAACCUUACCUGGAUUCAAUCGAGAGUGCACCGGGGGUAAUGCCCCGUCCCCGCAAGGGGCGCUCUUGACGGUGCUGCAUGGCUGUCGUCAGCUCGUGCCGUGAGGUGUUGGGUUAAGUCCCCUAACGAGCGCAACCCCUGUUGCCGGUUACCUGUCCGGCGAGACUGCCGCGCACAACGCGGAGGAAGGCGGGGAUGAUGUCAAGUCAGCACGGCCCUUACGACCAGGGCAACACACACACUACAAUGGUCGGGACAAUGAGCGGCCACACCGCGAGGUGCAGCGAAUCUCCCAAACCCGGCCCCAGUUCAGAUCGCAGGCUGCAACUCGCCUGCGUGAAGGCGGAGUUGCUAGUAACCGCCGGUCAGCAUACGGCGGUGAAUACGUUCCCGGGUCUUGUACACACCGCCCGU
rnacentral:rRNA from 1 species